ensembl:lncRNA
CAAGGAUAUCCCUACCGGCCUAACCCGGGCGACGCUAGGCCAAUUGUGCGUCGCCCCUUGGACCUCCCAGUCGCAGCCGGAUGCGAACCCAGAGUCUGGUGGCACUGCGAUGCCUUCGACCACUGCGCCACCCGGGAGGCCCACAAGUUAUAUUUUACGUUGAACAGAACACACACCACACCAAUGUUUCACACAUGAAACCAAAGGAAUGCCAAGUAGAUUUGAACCUUGAGUUUGUCUUGGCUGCAGUAGUGUCAUUGAUUCUACUCAUCGCUAGAUGGCGCUGUUGUCUUUCCCAUAUGAUUGCACACAAAGAACCAGAACUACAAGAUCACUGGACCGUAGACCGCAGUGCUGAAAUGAAGCAACAGCAGCUGUGAAAUGUAUAAUUUGGAGACUACAGGCUACUAAAUGCAGUAAUUUUCUUGUCAAGACGAGACGACCUCAAACUUGAAAUGACACACACGUCUAAGAGAGGCUGAGGACAGAGGUGUCAGAGG